GGAAGGGGAGGGGGAGCCCCAAAAAGGAGGAAAUGAGGAUUUGGCGGCUCUUGCUUUAUUUCUGCAAAAUGCACUUUCCAGGUGGCCCCGCGCGGCUCCGGCCUGGCCCGGAUCCCCCGCGCCUCCGCCCGGCCCGGCCCCCGGGCGCCCCCGAGCCCUCCCGCCGCCGGCCGCCGGGACGCGGUCGGGCCCCGGCCUCUGCCCCUCCGGGCUCGGGCCCCGCGCAGCACUCACCUCGGCCGGGCUGCGCUCCCCGCGGGCCUGCGCCGAGCCCGAUAAAUGAUCUUUCCAGAAAGGAUUUGAGGCUGCUUAGAAGAUCCAAUAGGUGAAGGGAGAUUAACCAGAGAGACUGGCUGUAUUUCUUGCACCCUUGGUACUGCCUCAGAGCUGGUCAGGACCAGACUGGAUUUGAACCCAGAGCCUCGGAUCCCAAUACAAUGUCAUCCACGCUAUUACUACCUGUUCCAUUGAUUCCGGAGGACUCCCACAUCUCUGUGAGAGAUUUCCUUCUUUCCACCUCUUAAUUUUGUGCACACAUAUAUAUGCACGUAUAUUUACACAUAUGUAUAUGUAUGUGUAUGUAUAUAUAUAUAUUAUGUGUGUGUAUGUAUAUACACGUGUGUAUGUGUGCAUUUAAUUUAUUGAAGAUCAGCUGUGAGCCUGGUGGACUUUUAUAAAUGUCAUCUUUUCCCCAAACAUUUGUGCCAGACACAUCUUAGAAGCUGGGAUACAGCGGUGGAACACAUUUUAAACAUUUAAACACACUGUGGUAAGUGCUAGGUGGGACAAGAAUCUGGAGCUGUGUCUAUUUACUUCAUUCUCACAAAGAUCCAGGAAAGUUGGUUUGGGCAUGCCCGUUUUACAGAUGGGAAACUAAGGCUGGGAGAGUGACCCGUCCAAGGUGGCAGUUCUGACUCCAGAGCCUGUGUGUUCUACACAUACUCCUAUUAUUUCUACUAUUUGCCUUAAGGAAGCCUUGAAAGGCGGGGGGGGGGGGGGGGGGGGGAAGGGGAAUGCACCUGCACCAUCCGGAAUUUCUCAGACUCUUUUUUCUGUGUGUGCUUUCUGUCUCCUAGAUACUCUAAGAUUAAAGAACAUAAAAGGUAGCUUCUGGCAUGAAGAGGAUGGGGAUUUUUUAUUCAAAAAUGAAAAGCUGAGAUACUCCUGAAACCAUUGUUGCACUAUAUAUAUGCUAACUUGGACGUAAAUUAAACAAAUAAAUGUAAUUUUAAAAAAUGAAAAGCA
rnacentral:lncRNA from 1 species